UUUAAAGUUUAGAAUAAAAAAGAUUAGAUAGUUAAUUCAAAAUGAUCUAUAGUCCAGGCAAGGUCUAUUGGUCUGGCCAUUUCCAAUUGCAUGGAAAUACAAAUUCAGUGUUUGGUUUAAUGUCUUUAACUUUAGCUACUGCAUUAGGAACUAUAAGGGGCCGUUUGGUUGGAUGUAGUUGCAGAAACAGUGUAGUUGAAAAUACAUGCAGUUGCAAAUGCUGCAGUUAUAACUACACCUAAUCUGUUUGGUUUUACGCAGUUGCAACUGCUGCAGUUACAUUUCUUCUGUUUGGUAAUAUGAAGCUGAUAGUUGUAUUUAUGAAUUUUGUCACCUCUUCAGAUAGAGUGGUGAGGUUACCUUCACUAAACAUAAAAUAAUUGUAUAAAUUUAUUAAUUAUUUAA
rnacentral:lncRNA from 1 species